GGCUUGUUGGUCUAGGGGUAUGAUUAUUGCUUAGGGUGCAAGAGGUCCCGGGUUCAACUCCCAGAUGAGCCC
rnacentral:tRNA from 1 species